CUAAUACAAAGUCCUUUUCCCUGACUCACCUCUAAGCACAGCUUAUACACAGGGUCUCAAGUUCCAAUCCGCUCGUCGAACACAAGUUCAGACAGGGAAGAGAUACGGCUUUACACAGCCUUGUGGCCCCUCAGCACUCCUGGCUGAGACCACACAGAGCCUCUGUAGGCCUCUGAUUCCAAGUCCUCUCUCUUCACCGACUGACACACAGAUGGUUGGUUUUAUCCCUCCUUGAUUACAGCAGGCCUCAUCUUUGAUGA